rnacentral:rRNA from 1 species
UACGUAGGGGGCUAGCGUUGUCCGGAAUCAUUGGGCGUAAAGCGCGCGUAGGCGGCCCGGUAAGUCCGCUGUGAAAGUCCAGGGCUCAACCCUGGAAAGCCGGUGGAUACUGCCGGGCUAGAGUCCGGGAGAGGCGAGUGGAAUUCCUGGUGUAGCGGUGAAAUGCGCAGAUAUCAGGAAGAACACCGAUGGCGAAGGCAGCUCUCUGGGACGGUACUGACGCUGAGACGCGAAAGCGUGGGGAGCGAACAGG